CCGGGGUUUGCUGUAACAACUGCCCUGAAACCUUAGACUACAUUUCACCGCCGAUUACAUUUCCCAGCAAGGAAUGCGGCUCAGCGUACCUGGCAUGGGGAGCGCGAUGCCUACCCUGCUUCUGGCCUAUCUGUGGAACUGCGAUAUCCUCUUGGGAUUUGAGGACUACCUGGAACUCCAUUUCCCGUAGUGCUUUGGAAUUCGCUUUACACCUGCAAUGCGGUGAGGGCGUGGUGACGACUCCAUUUCCCAGCUUGCCUUACGGCCGGAGGUCUGCAGGUUUACCGACGCCGACUCGAUUUCCCAGAGGGCACCUGGCUGCGCGAGACACGCAGCCAAAAGACUUUAAGUGAACGACUGGACUCCGUUUCCCGGCGUGCUUCAGGACUGCACAACUCAAAGCGGCUGCGACUACAUUUCUGAGGUACUCCUCGAGGCUUCCUGUUGCCGCAGUGGAGGGAGUGCGCGGUUCUAUUUCCUAAAAACUAGAGGGUCCGCCUUCGGCACAGCCGACUGACAGAUUUUCCAGGAUUUUAUUUCCCGACGUGCUGCGCGACCCGUCACCCGCGCCGUGUACUCUGAGGCCUUUGCAGACUCCAUUUCCCGGCGUGCCACGCGGGCUUCUGUGCCUGCCGAGGGCGGCGACGGCGGCGCGGUCGGCAGGCGGACUUCAUCUCCCGGCGUGCCCCGCGGCGGGCGCUGGGCCGGAGCCGGAGCCCGAG
rnacentral:lncRNA from 1 species